GGAGAUGUGGCUCAGUGGUAGAGCACUUGCCUGGCAUGCACAAGGCCCUGGAUUCGAUCCCCAGCUCUG
rnacentral:tRNA from 1 species